ACUUAAGAUAAAAUUUCUUGUACAUUCCUUUACUUAUAGGUAUAGAACAGAAUUUAGUAGUAUAACUACUCUAAGUUCAUGUAAGUUUGAUACUGUUUCUUUCUUUGGAUGUCUAUUUUGCGCAUAAAUGCAAUUGCUGAUCAGAUUAAAUCAUCGGAGAACCUUAAUUUUUGUUUAUCUGAAGCAGAUCCUUUAUAUCAUUUUGUGAAGAGGCAAUUUUGAAGGGACAAAUUAAGGGGCAAAAAGACAAGGCCAACAUAAAAAUUGACACCGAGUUCUUGUGACACUAAGCUAAUGCUUGAUAAGCUAGAUGAGCUUUCAUACCUUUAGUCCUUAUUGGUUAAAUAUUCUGCUUCCUUAGUGUUGGUUAAUGGAUAUUAGUGCUGGUACAUAAUGACUUCUGCAGUUCCUUACGGCCAUAUUGUAUAAAAUAUCCCAAAACCCUGGGAACUUUGACCCAAUUGAAGUUCCCACAAAAAUGAAUGUUUGGAGAAGAGAGGUUUUCCAUCUAUGGUAUCAUUCCCCACAUAUUCCUUUUCCAAUUGAGGCAAAAGGGGAUUGGCCCCUUCAUCCACUGAUCAAAAGUCUCUCCUUUUGCAUUCUUUUCUUUUCUUUUUCUUUCCUUCUCAGUGCUUUGUGGAUGGUGAGUUGUAAAAGACUAACGCAAAUUCAAAAGUUGGGAAGAAUUCAGCCAUCAAUCCCCACUUAGAAAUUCUGUUUAUGCAACUUGGCAUAAACUAAGAUAAACCUUAUGCAUAAAUUAUGUUUUAGGGCGAUUAAUUACAUGCUUAAAGGUUUGUAAUAUUUGUAUAUGUGCAUAGGGCUCAGCAGAAUAUGUUAAAAAAAUUGAAAAACUGAAUUGAAUCAAUGCAAUUUUGUUUUUCAAUUCGAUUGAUUUAUUUUU
rnacentral:misc_RNA from 1 species